ACAUCCAUAAACAUUUUAGCAUUAGCAUUUUAGUGGUCAUGACUUCAAGUGGUGAGUCAAGCUCAAGAAGGAAUGCAACAACGGCGGAUGCCAAACCGAAGCAAUUGUCACCGCUAUCGAUAAUCACUUUGCAGAAUGUAAAAAAUCGGCCUCAUCAAAAGAGCAACAGGAAGCUACCAGGAUGCACUGUUAGGUAUUUUAACAAUAACGACCCCCGUUAUAGUUGGUUGUUGGAUGGUUGGUUGGCUGAAGAGCGUCGUGUGUCGUCAGGCAAGCUCAACAGGUAUUAUUAUGACCUAGUUGGGCGUCAAUAUCGCGCAAAAACUAAAGUGUUGUGUGCAUGGGAAAAAAUAGGCGUGAUCUUCAUUCAUCCUUGAUUAAUAUUCAGGGUUGAAGAAAUUUUCUGAAGCAGUAGUUAAGCAAUUGUAAAUUUUAGGAAGAAGUUUGAUCUUUUAUAUUAGAAUUGGGAGCACAAUGAUGUACUUUUUUGUUUAACUUCUUGGUUGUCAUCUAUACUUCUGUAGUUCUACAUCAACUUAUGGAAAAUAAAUUUAUAAUAAACUUAUCUUUAAA